rnacentral:rRNA from 1 species
CCUACGGGUGGCAGCAGUGGGGAAUGUUGGACAAUGGGCGAAAGCCUGAUCCAGCUAUGCCGCGUGAGUGAAGAAGGCCUUCGGGUUGUAAAGCUCUUUCGGUGGGGAAGAAGGUUAUCUGUUUAAGAGAUGGAUAGAUUGACGGUACCGACAGAAGAAGCACCGGCUAACUACGUGCCAGCAGCCGCGGUAAUACGGAGGGUGCGCGCGUUAAGCGGAAUUACUGGGCGUAACGGGUGCGAAGGCGUCUACCUAAGUCAGAUGUGAAAUCCCCGGGCUUACCCUGGGAACUGCGUUUGAACCUCUGUGGCUAGCGUACAGCAGAGGGGGGUGGAACUCCAUGUGUAGCCGUUAACUGCGUAGCUAUCUUGAAGAACAUCGAUGGCGACGGCAGCCCCCUGGGUUGAUACUGACGCUCAUGCACGAAAGCGUGGGGAGCAAACAGGAUUAGAUACCCCAGUAGUC